AUUGAACGCUAGCGGGAUGCCUUACACAUGCAAGUCGAACGGAGUGGCGAACGGGUGAGUAAUGUAUCGGAACGUGCCCAUUAGCGGGGGAUAACUACGCGACAUCGAAGCUAAUACUGCAUACUAUUGGAGCGGCCGAUAUCGGAUUAGGGAGUUGGUGGGGUAACGGCUCACCAAGUCGACGAUCCUGAGCCGGUUUGCGAGGACGACCAGCCACACUGGGACUGAGACACGGCCCAGACUCCUACGGGAGGCAGCAGUGGGGAAUUUUGGACAAUGGGCGAAACCCUGAUCCAGCCAUGCCGCGUGUACGAUGAAGGCCUUCGGGUUGUAAAGCACUUUUGGCAGGGAGGCGGUACCUGCAGAAUAAGCACCGGCUAACUACGUGCCAGCCGCCGCGGUAAUUC
rnacentral:rRNA from 1 species